rnacentral:rRNA from 1 species
UUACGGUUACGGGCGGCAGCGGUUGUGAAUCUUUGGCAAUGGAUGAAAGUCUGACCGAGCAACUCCGCGUGAAAGACGAAGGCGUUCUGGAGGUAAAGUUCUGUCAUGGGGCAAGAACGGCUCUGGUGGCCCCGACUAUGACGGUACCUCAGGAGGAAGCCCCGGCUAACUACGUGCCAGCAGCCGCGGUAAUACGUAGGGGGCAAGCGUUGUCCGGAAUUAUUGGGCGUAAAGCGCGCGCAGGCGGUGAUUUAAGUCUGAUGUGAAAGCCCACGGCUCAACCGUGGAGGGUCAUUGGAAACUGGGUCACUUGAGUGCAGGAGAGGAAAGUGGAAUUCCACGUGUAGCGGUGAAAUGCGUAGAGAUGUGGAGGAACACCAGUGGCGAAGGGGACUUUCUGGCCUGUAACUGACGCUGAGGCGCGAAAGCGUGGGGAGCAAACAGGAUUAGAUACCCUGGUAGUCCACGCCGUAAACGUUAAGUGGUAGGUGUUAGGGGGUUGACGCCCGUAGUGCU